ensembl:lncRNA
AGAGAGUGGCAGGACGUGCAUGCACUCAUGAUGACUCCCUGCUGCUGGGGACCAGCAGAUCCCCUCUUUGUGACCACUAACGGCUGCUCUCUGUGCUUGUGUGUCAGACUGUGUUGAGGGAGGGGAGCCCUGUGAGGGACUGUAAAGAACCAGCAUUGGCCUCCAAGCAGACAUACAUAAGCUACAGUAAUCACGCCAUCUAACCGACCAGAGAGCUGCACAAGGGAGCCACGAGCGAGAAGCCUGCCUUAGGAGCGAGCACCUGACACUGGAGAGAACGCUAAAAAUACCGGAGAAACUCUGAGCUCCAAGGGAGAGAAGGGACCGAGGGGUAAUGGGGACGGGGAAAUGUCACUCCUUGUGCAGAGGAAGAAGAAGAGGAGGAAGAAGAAGAUGUCUUUUUGUUUUUGAAUAGCGAUUAAGGCUUGCAAAGAAAUGGUAUUUUUGGGGGGUUUGGGAUUUUGUUGUCAGGUGGCAGAUUGGUUGAAUUGUUGAGAGAAUCCCAUCAAAGUAUUUUUCCUUGUUUCCACUCUUUUCUGUGAUGUAAUACGAGUGUAGCGCAGUAACAUUACUUUCUGACGCGUGUCAGGUGAGCGAACCGUUCAGGGCCUGCGGUAUAUUUGUUAUUUUUAAAGUGUGGAGAAUAUGACCACGAUUGCUUUUUUUAAAGGUCCGAGUCUCAUUUGAACCUGUGCGUAUUUCCUUCUUUGCUCUUAAUGCAAGCGUUUCUUUUUGUUCAAACGCAAGCGACAUCGCAGACAAAACAGUUGUGCGCGGCAUUGUGUCGGAGAUGCCAGUGUAAGGCCACACUAACAGCGGUACACUCCAGUGUCCACUCGCUUUACUGUAAUCAGAAACAACGAAAAAAGAAGCACCGCAUCGGAAAACUCGAAACGAAAUGCGAGGACCGGCCCGUUUCCUCAUUAUCGUUCUGUGACGGUACUAAAGAUGAUGGCGUCCGACGUGCCGCUAGCCAGAUAAACCCUGUGUAUAGUCCCCAAGCAUGCCUGUGGGAGCCUCACGUCUUCUGUGCUGUGUUGUCAACGUCUAUGGAAUGCAACAUGUGUCAUGGUCAUUCACGGUGGCGUCUCCAUAAGACUAGUGUUGAACACAUACACACAUACACGGACACGCACAGACACACACAGACACACACACAGACACAGACUCAGACAGAAACACACUCUCACACACACACACACACACACACACACACAGACACACACACACACACACCAAGACACUUUGAGAUUCUACCAUACAUGCACACUGUCUAGGUUUAUUGGCCCUUAUCUAUCAUGCAAUCGUUUUAUAUGCCACAAAUGUAAAAUAUGACGAUUAUUUAAAGUAUGUCUAAAGAGGAUGUGGUAUUUUCAACAAAU